rnacentral:rRNA from 1 species
CUUGACAUGUCCUGAAUCCCGGUGAGAGCUGGGAGUGCCCGAAAGGGAACGGGAACACAGGUGCUGCAUGGCUGUCGUCAGCUCGUGUCGUGAGAUGUUGGGUUAAGUCCCGCAACGAGCGCAACCCUUGUCAUUAGUUGCUACAUUCAGUUGGGCACUCUAAUGAGACUGCCGGUGACAAACCGGAGGAAGGUGGGGAUGACGUCAAGUCCUCAUGGCCCUUAUGGGUAG